rnacentral:rRNA from 1 species
GAUGAACGCUGGCGGCGUGCCUAAUACAUGCAAGUCGAGCGAAAGGACGAGGAGCUUGCUUCUCUGAUGUUAGCGGCGGACGUGUGAGUAACACGUGGAUAACCUACCUAUAAGACUGGGAUAACUUCGGGAAACCGUAGCUAAUACCGGAUAAUAUUUUGAACCGCAUGGUUCAAAAGUGAAAGACGGUCUUGCUGUAACUUAUAGCUGGAUCCGCGCUGCAUUAGCUAGUUGGUAAGGUAACGGCUUACCACGGCAACGAUGCAUAGCCGACCUGAGAGGGUGAUCGGCCACACGGGAACUGGGACACGGUCCAUGCUACUACGGGAGGCAGCAGUAGGGAAUCUUCCGCAAUGGGCGAAAGCCUUACGGAGCAACGCCGCGUGAGUGAUGAAGGUCUUCGGAUCGUAAAACUCUGUUAUUAGGGAAGAACAUAUGUCGAAGUAACUGUGCACAUCUUGACGGUACUGAAUCAGAAAGCCACGGCUAACUACGUG